GUCUUCAGAACCAGGCCAGGAGCCGCUGCGUUGGGGUUUAUGCUUGGAUGGUGGACGGCCGUGGAUCCUCGUUCCUAGCUGCCUGCCAGCGUCCUCGGCCCGGCCCUGAGGAUGGACCCAGGAGAUCCCGCUGGUGACCCUGCCGCUGGCGAGCGCCACCGCAUGGGCACCCACAGGCUUCUACAGCCUCUUCUCCACCUAAGCAGAGUGGGAUGUUUUCAAAGUGCAACACCCCAGCUAGCAGGGCCCCUGGAACAGCCUCGGCGCCCCCUGGAACACUAAUGGCCCUCCCUGGAACAGACACGGCACCCCCACCGAGAACAGCCUCGGUGCCCCCUGGAACAGCCUCAGCACCCCCUGGAACACUAAUGGCCCUCCCUGGAACAGACACGGCACCCCCACCGAGAACAGCCUCGGUGCCCCCUGGAACAGCCUCAGCACCCCCUGGAACACUAAUGGCCCUCCCUGGAACAGAUACGGCCCCCCGCCAGAACAGACAUGGUGCCCGCUGGAACACUAAUGGUCCUCCCUGGAACAGCCUCGGUGCCCCCUGGAACACUAAUGGCCCUCCCUGGAACAGACACGGCGCCCCCCCACAGAACAGCCUCGAUGCCCCCUGGAACAGCCUCGGUGCCCCCUGGAACAGCCUCGGUGCCCCCUGGAACAGCCUGGUGCUCCUGGAACAGACACAGCCCCCCCAGAACAGACACAGCACCCCCUGGAACAGCCUGGCGCUUCCUGGAAUGGCCACAUCCCCCCAUCCUUUCUGUGCUGCUUUAGGCAUCUGCCCUUACAUGGUUCGUGUCCAGCUCUGUCAACAAGGCCAGCUCCACAAGAGGCCCCAGCUCAGCCCUCCCCAGUGGGCUCCCCUACUCAGGCUCUGGGUCAGCUUCUUCCCAGGAGGUGUCCUGGCCCCUGUGCUGGCCCCGCCUCGCUGCCUGGACACCUGUCCGUGCCACCCUGGUCACUGAGCAGGACAUCCGCGUCUGUGGCCCCUGGGACCCUGCCCCCGACAGCCAGGCCUGGGUUUGUCCUUUUAGGUAGAGUGCCUGGUCCAGGUCAUUGGAGGAGAGUCCACAUGGCCACCUCUGGCGUGUUCUAGAGAGGCCCUCCCGCGCUGGGUCAGGAGGCAUCAUCGGGACAGGAGAAGGGGGCUGAGCUCCUGUUCCUCUCUCCCUCCCCCGAGGCCAAGAAACAUUCCCAUCCGAAUGUCCACUGCGCUCACAGAUUCCUUUCCUCCUAAAACUUCAGCCUUGGCCAGGCUCACGGCCAGGAUUAUGGUGGCUCACGCCUGUAAUCCCAGUACUGUGGGAGGCCGAGGCAGGAGGAUCACGAGGUCAGAAGAUCGAGACCAUCCUGGCCAACAUGGUGAAACCCCGUCUCUACUAAAAAUACAAAAAUUAGCUGGACAUGGUGGCGGGCGCCUGUAUUCCCAGCUACUGGGGAGGCUGAGGCAGGAGAAUGGCUUGGAGGCAGUAGAACUGCUUGAACCCUGGAGGCGGAGGUUACAGUUAUCCGAGGUUGUGUCAUUGCACUCCAGCCUGGGGAACAGAGCGAGACUCCAUCUCAAAAAAAAUAAAAAACUUCAGCUUUUGC
rnacentral:lncRNA from 1 species